ensembl:lncRNA
UUUUUUUUUUUUUUUUUUUUUUGCUUUGAAAGGAGGUGCCUACUUUCCACACUGAAGAAUAAAGCUAUACCUAAUUGUCCUUUAUUGAACCUCACCUCAAGUUUUUAAGCUACAGAAGAAGCAAUCAUUUGAUGGUAAAUAUCCUUUCCCAAAGUGUUCUAACACCACUGCUUUUUUUAAAAAAAUUUUUUAAUCAAAGUGUAGCUGAUUUAUGUUAAUUUCUGCCAUACAACAACGUGGCUCAGUUAUACACAUAUAUAUUAUUUUUCAUGUUCUUUUCCAUUCUGGUUUAUUGAAUAUAGGAUAUUGAAUAUAGCUCCCUGUGUUAUACCUUAGGACUUUGUUGUUUAUCUAUUCUAUGUAUAAUAGUUUGCAUCUGCUCAUCCCCAACUCCCAAGCCUGCCCUCCCCCACCAGGAAAAACAUCCCUUCCAAACACAAUAGUCUGAAUCUACUAACCCCAAGCUCCCAAGCCAUCCCACCCCCUCCCCCUUCCCCUUGGCAACCACAAGUCUGUUCUUUACGUUUGUGAGUCUGUUUCUGUUUUAUAGAUAUAACAUCCCAGCUUGAACGCUAGCCAUUGCCACACACAACUACCAGCUAAAUUAUAAAUGUAGAAAUCCAUAGCUGAGAAUUAGAUUAUAAGGGUAGAAACCCAUACUGAGACCACUCAUAAGAGGAGUGUUUCCUUUGCAUGUAGCCAAUAUGAUCCCCACUAAAGAGAGUCCUUAAAAGAAAAGCCUCUUACCUUGUUAAUAUUUUAAUACGUAAUACAUUUUUGUGGUGCCAAAUACUUUAAGUAUCAUGACCAUAAAAAUGUAAAUACAUUCCUCCAAUGACUUUGAUACCUUACCAAAUAAAACCUCCCCAAAUGUUUAAAAGUGCAUUUUCUGUUUGCUUUGUACAUGCUGCUCGAAAACUAUUUAACUCCAUGAACUUUAAAAUCCCACAUUAAAUUUGGCUGGGUACAUAUCUGUGGUCUUAUAAGACUAAUUUUAGAUCUCUGCUAUUUUCCCAAGCAGAAAAUACAACUACAGUUUUGAACUUCUGGCUCAACCCCUGAAUAUGGGAAUCAUCAUUCUUGUUUUCUAAGAAUAAAUAAAUAAAAUCAUGUAACUGAAAUUGCGGGUUUUGUCUUCAGACUGGCCACAUGCUGGCCUUCCUUUCUUCAUCAACACACCAAUAUUAUCCAUACGAAGGAGUAAAUGAAUUUCGCAUACUAAGUAUUACCAACAUUAUUCACAUGACUAGAUGGAAACACAACGGGGAUGUUUUUUCUUACAUAUAUAUUUUUUCUCUACUGUAAACAUGCCUUUUUUUUCUUUUUCCUUUUUACAGCAGCACCUGCGGCAUAUGGAAGUUCCCAGUCUAGGGGUUGAACUGGAGCUGCAGGUGCUGGUCUACACCAUAGCAACCCCGGAUCUAUUACAUUUAGGAUGGAUAAUCAGUGAGGUCCUGCUAUCCAGCACAGGGAACUAUAUCCCGUCUCUCGUGACAGAACAUUCUAGAUGAUAAUAUGAGAAAAAAGAAUGUAUGUAUUUAUAUGUACGACUGUGUCGCUAUGCUGUACAGCAAAAAUUGGCACAACAUUGUAACUCAACUAUACUUUAAUAAAACAUAAGGUAAGUAAAAUAAAUGAGGUCUAGACGGUGAAACCAUCUGCGAGGCGUCAAAUAUGUUUAAUCUGCAAGUUCCCCUCCAUUUCUUUCCAUCGUCUCCCUUGCAAUUGGAUUAUGAAGAAAACUGGUCAUUUGUCCUCCAGAAUUUCUUAUAUUCUAGAUUUUGCACUCCUGUGUUUUCACUUCACAGAACACUAAUAUUGUCCAUUCUAAUAAUAGCUAAUUAAUAAUAACAUUAUUCAGAGUCAUAUUGUCUCUGAGCAGCACAGGAAUGAAAAACUGUCUGAUAUUUACCCUCCAGGCCCAUCUGUUAAUUCCCUGGAACUAUUGUUUUCUUCUAUGAGACUUCAUCAGCUAUUUCACCGGGUUCAAUGACAGAAACUUUUGGCAUGAGAGCAUGUUUUCAAAGCACCUUUAAGCAAAAGAUGCUUCAAAGCAAAAAGCUCCCAAGGCAAAAGUUUCUGUCGUUGAACCGGGUGAAAGAGCUGAUGAAUUCAGAAACUUCUAAAGAGUAUCUCUGAUAAGGAGUUAAGAAGAGAAGCCAAGAUGAAGAGCAAACCUUGUCAACGAUAUAAGGGGAGGAACAGAAGCUACUGAACUUCCGGGAAAUGCAAACGUAGAAAGUGAUGAGAGGAGUUCCUGUUGGGGCUCAGUGAUAAGGAACCUGACUGGUAUCCAGGAGGGUUCGAUCCCUGGCCUUGCGCAGUGGGUCAGGGAUCUGGCACUGCCGUGAACUGUGGUGCAGGUUGCAGACACUGCUUGGAUCUGACAUUGCGGUGGCUGUGGCACUGGCUGGCAGCUGCAGCUCCAAUUCGACCCCUAACCUGGGAACUUCCAUAUGCUGCAAAUGAGGCCCUAAAAAAGCAAAACCAAAAACAAAAAGAAAAAAAAAAAGUGAUUAGAAUCUAAUACCUGACUCUUUCCCUCUCUUUUUGAUAUUGCAAAGGAUGCUUCCACUGGCUUUCCAUCUGUAUGUGAGAGCCACACAGAAGUUCUCCCACAUUCUUCUGGGCUAGUUCGCCACUUCUGUCUUUGACAAUCUGCUCCCCAGGCUGAAUGGCUCAAGAGGAACAUGACAGAAAGAUCAGGAAGCACUUUUUUUUGGAGGGGGGUGACUGCACCCACAACAUGGGAAGUUCCCGGGCCAGGGAUCAAAGCUGCACCACAGCAAUGACAAUGCCAGAUCCUUAAUCCACUGAGCCACCAGGGAACUCCAGGAAGUGCAUUCUCUGCUAGCAACUGACAAUAUCUAGUCCUCAAAGCCUGAGCUUUCUUCGAAGAUCCCAUAUCUUUGCCAACCACACCUAGAAACUGAGUUAUUAGGUCACUCCACUCUGUUUUUUCACCACCAGCUCGAAUCCCUUAUUUUCCCACCUUCGCAGAGCAAAGACUGCUGAGUCACUUUAUAUUUGAAACAAGGUGCAAACAACAAGCCUGUGACAUUCCCUGUAUUCUUGUAAGAACAAGAAUGGAAAAAUGCCAUUCUGAAUUCCGGAGGGAGGAGUAUUGACGGUAAGUUUUUCACACACUCACUCACACACUCACAUGCACACCUGACUGAAUGUUGUGUUGUACAUCAGACCAAAAAAAAAAAAAAA